rnacentral:rRNA from 1 species
CAGCAGCCGCGGGAAUACAGAGGGUGCAAGCGUUAAUCGGAAUUACUGGGCGUAAAGCGCGCGUAGGUGGUUUGUUAAGUUGGAUGUGAAAUCCCCGGGCUCAACCUGGGAACUGCAUUCAAAACUGACUGACUAGAGUAUGGUAGAGGGUGGUGGAAUUUCCUGUGUAGCGGUGAAAUGCGUAGAUAUAGGAAGGAACACCAGUGGCGAAGGCGACCACCUGGACUAAUACUGACACUGAGGUGCGAAAGCGUGGGGAGCAAACAGGAUUAGAUACCCGAGUAGUCCCUGUCUCUUAUAC